rnacentral:rRNA from 1 species
GAUCCUGGCUCAGGAUGAACGCUGGCGGCGUGCCUAACACAUGCAAGUCGAACGAGGUAAAAGAGAUGAAGUUUUCGGAUGGAUUCUUAUUUACCGAGUGGCGGACGGGUGAGUAACGCGUGGGUAACCUGCCUCAUACAGGGGGAUAACGAUUGGAAACGAUUGCUAAUACCGCAUAAGCGCACAGUACCACAUGGUACAGUGUGAAAAACUCCGGUGGUAUGAGAUGGACCCGCGUCUGAUUAG